GAUGAAGAACGUAGCGAAAUGCGAUAAGUAGUGUGAAUUGCAGAAUUCCGUGAAUCAUCGAAUCUUUGAACGCACAUUGCGCCUUCUGGUAUUCCGGAAGGCAUGCCUGUUCGAGAGUCAUUAACAACCGUUUCGAUCCCUUUCUUUCAGAAAUUACAAAGAGGAAAAGGGUUUGGUUAUGGUGGAGGAGGGAAAGGGAGCGUUUAGCCUGUAAAAAAAGAGGCUGUGUUCCGCCUCCCCCCCAAAAUUGUACAGGCGGUCGUGUGCGCCCACGCAUCGAGGUGUUGUAAAAGCUGCCACGGCACUUUUCACCUGUGCAGUGCGAGAUUGGCCAGCCGGUUUAAAACCCCCUCCAAACAAUCAAAGGUUGACCUCGGAUCAGGUAGGGAUACCCGCUGAACUUAAGCAUAUCAAUAAGCGGAGGA
rnacentral:misc_RNA from 1 species